rnacentral:rRNA from 1 species
UACGAAGGGGGCUAGCGUUGCUCGGAAUCACUGGGCGUAAAGCGCACGUAGGCGGAUUGUUAAGUCAGGGGUGAAAUCCUGGAGCUCAACUCCAGAACUGCCUUUGAUACUGGCGAUCUCGAGUCCGGGAGAGGUGAGUGGAAUUGCGAGUGUAGAGGUGAAAUUCGUAGAUAUUCGCAAGAACACCAGUGGCGAAGGCGGCUCACUGGCCCGGAACUGACGCUGAGACGCGAAAGCGUGGGGAGCAAACAGG